GAACCGCGGGCGUCUUUUGACCUGGCAUCCAAAACUAUUGGGCUAGAGCGUUGGGAGAGGAAGAUGGAAUUAGUUGUGUAGGGGUAAAAUCCGUAGAGAUAACUAGGAAUACCAAAAGCGAAGGCAAUCUUCUGGAACACUACUGACGCUGAGGCGCGAAGGCGUGGGGAGCAAACAGGAUUAGAUACCCUGGUAGUCCACGCAGUAAACGAUGAAUGUUAGUCGUCGGGUAGCUAGUCUAUUCGGUGAUGCAGCUAACGCAUUAAACAUUCCGCCUGGGGAGUACGGUCGCAAGAUUAAAACUCAAAGGAAUAGACGGGGACCCGCACAAGUGGUGGAGCAUGUGGUUUAAUUCGAAGAUACGCGAAGAACCUUACCUAGCCUUGACAUAUAUUAGAACAGACCAGAGAUGGACUGGUGCCUUCGGGAGCUUUUAUACAGGUGCUGCACGGCUGUCGUCAGCUCGUGUCGUGAGAUGUUGGGUUAAGUCCCGCAACGAGCGCAACCCUCGUCACUAGUUACUAACGGUUCGGCCGAGGACUCUAGUGAGACUGCCUUCGCAAGGAGGAGGAAGGUGAGGACGACGUCAAGUCAUCAUGGCCCUUACGGCCUAGGGCAACACACGUGCUACAAUGGCCAGGGACAAUGAGACGCGAUACCGCGAGGUGGAGCAAAUCUAUAAAACCUGGUCCUCAGUUCGGAUUGUAGUCUGCAACUCCGACUACCAUGAAGCCUGGAAUCACCUAGUAAUCCGUAGAUCAGCCUAUGCUAACGGUGAAUACGU
rnacentral:rRNA from 1 species